rnacentral:rRNA from 1 species
GACGAAGGGGGCUAGCGUUGUUCGGAAUUACUGGGCGUAAAGCGCGCGUAGGCGGCUCUUCAAGUCAGGCGUGAAAGCCCCGGGCUUAACCCGGGAAUAGCGCUUGAUACUGUUGGGCUUGAGUCCGGGAGAGGAUAGUGGAAUUCCCAGUGUAGAGGUGAAAUUCGUAGAUAUUCGCAAGAACACCAGUGGCGAAGGCGGCUCACUGGCCCGAUACUGACGCUGAGGCACGAAAGCGUGGGGAGCAAACAGG